rnacentral:rRNA from 1 species
UACGUAGGAUGCAAGCGUUGUCCGGAUUUAUUGGGUUUAAAGGGUGCGUAGGGGGCCUAUUAAGUUAGUGGUGAAAACGUUCGGCUUACCCGGCUACCCGCCAUUGAUACUGAUAGACUUGAGUGCGACAGAGGGUGUUGGAAUGUGUGGUGUAGCGGUGAAAUGCUUAGAUAUCACGCAGAACACCAAUUGCGAAGGCAGAUGCCUAUGUCGUAACUGACGCUGAGGCACGAAAGCGUGGGGAGCAAACAGG